AGAGUUUGAUCAUGGCUCAGGACGAACGCUGGCGGCGUGCCUAAUACAUGCAAGUCGAGCGGACCGAAGGGAGCUUGCUCCUUUAGGUUAGCGGCGGACGGGUGAGUAACACGUGGGCAACCUGCCCUGCAGACUGGGAUAACUUCGGGAAACCGGAGCUAAUACCGGAUAACACCGAAAACCGCAUGGUUUUCGGUUGAAAGGCGGCUUUUAGCUGUCACUGCAGGAUGGGCCCGCGGCGCAUUAGCUAGUUGGUGAGGUAACGGCUCACCAAGGCGACGAUGCGUAGCCGACCUGAGAGGGUGACCGGCCACACUGGGACUGAGACACGGCCCAGACUCCUACGGGAGGCAGCAGUAGGGAAUCUUCCGCAAUGGACGAAAGUCUGACGGAGCAACGCCGCGUGAGCGAAGAAGGUCUUCGGAUCGUAAAGCUCGUGUCAGGGAAGAACAAGU
rnacentral:rRNA from 1 species